UCGACCUGAGCUCAGGCAAGACUACCCGCUGAACUUAAGCAUAUCAAUAGUCGGAGGA
rnacentral:rRNA from 1 species